rnacentral:rRNA from 1 species
GACCAACAGCUAGCUUAUCCGCCUAAAAUAGACCAACAAAAUAAAUAACCCAUCAAAAACCAAAAAUAAUAAACAAAUCAUUUUUCCGCCCUAGUACGGGAGACAGAAAAGGAAUCACAAAGCAAUAGAAAGAGUACCGCAAGGGAAAGCUGAAAAAGAACUGAAACAACACAUUCAAGCCUAAAAAAGCAGAGAUCAACCCUCGUACCUUUUGCAUCAUGAUUUAGCCAGCACAUCCGAGCAAAGAGAGCUUUAGUUCAAGACCCCGAAACCGAGUGAGCUACUCCGAGUCAGCCUAUUACGGGCCAACCCGUCUCUGUGGCAAAAGAGUGGGAAGAACUCCGAGUAGAGGUGACAAACCUACCGAACCCGGUUAUAGCUGGUUGCCUAGGAAAUGGAUAAGAGUUCAGCCCCCCAACCCUCAAAUCACAACAGUAAUGCAAGAUUACGAGAAAAAGGAGGGAGUUAGUCAGAGGAGGUACAGCUCCUCUGAACCAGGACACAACCUUAUCAGGAGGUCAAGGAUCAAACUCAACAAGGCCAACCGUUUCAGUGGGCCUAAAAGCAGCCACCUACACAGAAAGCGUUAAAGCUCGGACGGACCAAAGACCCCUUAUUCUGAUAACCCCCCCCCCCACCCCCUAAUUAUACUAGGCCGCCCUAUGUCACCCCGCCAUAGGAGAGAUAAUGCUAAAAUGAGUAAUAAGAAGGACGCCCUUCUCCCCGCACACGUGUAAGUUAGUACGGACCCGCCACUAACAAAUAGCGAACCCAACCCAAGAGAGCACUGCGGAGCUAAUCUACGAACAGGAAAACCCCGCACACACACAUCGUUAUUCCCACACAGGAGUGCUUGCAAGAGGAAAGACCCUAAGGAAAAGAAGGAACUCGGCAAACACAAGCCUCGCCUGUUUACCAAAAACACCGCCUCCUGCAAUAUCAAACAUAGGAGGUCCCGCCUGCCCAGUGACUUUAAGUUUAACGGCCGCGGUAUUUUAACCGUGCAAAGGUAGCGCAAUCACUUGUCUUUUAAAUGGGGACCUGUAUGAACGGCAUCACGAGGGCUUAGCUGUCUCCUUUUCCAAGUCAAUGAAAUUGAUCUACCCGUGCAGAAGCGGGUAUACCCCCACAAGACGAGAAGACCCUGUGGAGCUUAAGACACAAGGUCAACCGCGUCAAACAACCAAGCCUUAAAAGUAAAAACAAAGUGUGAGCCUGGCCAACAUGUCUUCGGUUGGGGCGACCCCGGGGGAAAAACAAGCCCCCCUGUGGACCGGGAAUUCCCUAAAGCCAAGAGGCACACCUCCAAGCCUCAGAACAUCUGACCAUGAACGAUCCGGCCUAGCCGAUCAACGAACCAAGUUACCCCAGGGAUAACAGCGCAAUCCUCUCCCAGAGUCCAUAUCGACGAGGGGGUUUACGACCUCGAUGUUGGAUCAGGGCAUCCUAAUGGUGCAGCCGCUAUUAAGGGUUCGUUUGUUCAACGAUUAAAGUCCUACGUGAUCUGAGUUCAGACCGGAGCAAUCCAGGUCGGUUUCUAUCUGUAAUGCUACUUUUCCUAGUACGAAAGGACCGGAAAGGAAGGGCCCCUACCCCCGAUACGCCCUACCCCAACCUGAUGAAACCAACUAAACCAGACAAAGGAGCGCAGCCCUGCAACCCUAGACAAGGGCAUGCUGGUGUGGCAGGGCCUGGUAAAUGCGGGAGCUUAGGGCCUCCCCACGGAGGUUCGAAUCCUCCCACCAA